rnacentral:rRNA from 1 species
AAUCUUCCGCAAUGGACGAAAGCCUGACGGAGCAACGCCGCGUGAGUGAUGAAGGUUUUCGGAUCGUAAAGCUCUGUUGUUAGGGAAGAACAAGUGCCGUUUGAAUAAGGCGGCACCUUGACGGUACCUAACCAGAAAGCCACGGCUAACUACGUGCCAGCAGCCGCGGUAAUACGUCGGUGGCAAGCGUUGUCCGGAAUUAUUGGGCGUAAAGCGCGCGCAGGCGGUCUCUUAAGUCUGAUGUGAAAGCCCACGGCUCAACCGUGGAGGGUCAUUGGAAACUGGGAGACUUGAGUACAGAAGAGGAGAGUGGAAUUCCACGUGUAGCGGUGAAAUGCGUAGAUAUGUGGAGGAACACCAGUGGCGAAGGCGACUCUCUGGUCUGUAACUGACGCUGAGGCGCGAAAGCGUGGGGAGCAAACAG